CAUGGGGAGGUACUGGGUGAGGAAGUAAUCAUCAUCUACACCUCUGGCUUAGCAGGUGAGCCAGAAGUCUUCCAACCAUACACCAAGGUUCAUCUCCCCAGUGUACUUGGCGAUGUUGGUGGGCCGUCGGAAGUAUCGUGGGAAAGGCGCUUUUUGAUAUGGCAAUCGAAGGCCUGUGGUCCCGUUCCGUCCGGGGUAGCGCUCCGGUCACCGUUUCGGUCGCUCGGUCGGUCGCCUCGCCUAGGGUGCACUUCUUCGCACUCCUCAUGGAACCGGUCACAGGCCACGUUGGCCGCUCUUGCUGCCAUCUGUUCAACGUCGGCGUCGUGCCGUGCAUGGCGUCGCGUGUGGAGGACAUCGCGCGCGUCACGGUUCAGCCCGAUCCGCUCGCACAUGGGCUGAUACCACAACGCUGGUGCCGGGUCGGGCUGCGGAGCUGCCGCAGCGCUCUGCCUUGCCCGACGUGCCGGCGGGGGUGAGCGGACGAAGGGGUUUGACUGGUCCGGCCCAGCGCUCCGGUUGGGCAAGAGGCUGCGUGUCAUUCUCGCGAUGCAGAGCUCUCCGUCUGUUGUACGCCGGUGGUUUCCACCAGCGCCCAGAGGUUCCGAUGGAUUGCCUGCUCCUGGGGUCAGCUGGCUCGGGGAGGCUGGGCAGAAGCAUCGUUGCGGCAGCGAUGUUCUGUCCGGCCCAAGCUUAAUGCGGCAGGUCAUCCCCUCCUGCCAGGAUGUUAAUCUGGACCUGGCGGGCGCAACCUCGAGCGCCGCUUGUCGGGUUGCGCGCGUGCAUGAAGCGUCCCCACAUAUGCAUAGACUAAAUAUGAUACAAAUAUCAGUCCCAGGAGACUGAUAAUACAUUUAUUCAACAGAUGGUUCAUAAACCGUACAACUUCCGAGGGAGUAGGCAGGAAAGCCACGCUGAAAUGAGAAGUAAAUAGAAAAUAGCAGCGAGCCAAGCUACUAUCAAAAGACAACACUCGGGGCUACACGACAGCGGAAGCAUUCUGCAAAGGCCAACACCACAGGCAGCGUUGGGUGCGGAAGCGACCUCCUACUCGAAAUCCUCAGCGAUGAAGUCCAGAUCUUCCUCUGAAGCAACAAAAUAAGGGUGAGUACAAAAGUACUCAACAAGUCCAACCCCAUUCACGGAGGGGGAAUACAAUCAAGAAUAUGCACAAGAUAAUUCAAUGAUAAGGCUUAGGAUUAUUUGCAAUAAAGCUAGAUUUUCAACAGAUGCUAUGGUUCAUUUUCAAAAGAGUUUUUGUUCCGAAACAUUAAGUGGGGUUGAUGCUACACCAAUGAUCCAAGUUUUAAUGCUACCGAACUCCCCGUCCGCAGUAGCUCACGGCACAACUGCCGGACACUUCCAAAAUCCAACUCAUGUUAUGAAAACCAUCCAUCUCCAAGCACUAGUUAUGUGACCAAGCUGUAACUCGUCCAAUACCGUGGACACGGCUAUCCGGAUAGGUUUAACUCUACAGAGGUUAUACACUUUACCCACAAGUAGGGUACCGCAGCAUGAUCACCUUAGUAUCGGUGCAGAUCUUAUCAAAGCCAUUACCCACCUUAGCUAAGCCUGACUAGCCGUAGCAACCAAGGUGUUAAUGACCUACCAACGAGGUCUAAACCGGGAUCUAAGUUCACACAGUUCUGACUCCCUCUCCAUGGUCUCCCGUUGCUCACCAGCUCUCGUGAUGGCUAACAUUCUAGCUAGUGGGAUUUAUGCUAAGCCGUCGCCGCAUACAAUGGUCGAGUGGUUGGACGAUGGUUGGGUUAGGCAAGAUGACACAUCAACUCGGUCCUUAAUUGUGGCAAGAUGGAUAUCUCCCAACCUUGCUCAACCACAAAGGUACGAGCCCAACUCAUUAGCAUUUCACACAAGAAACACUCAUCCAUCUCAUCUAAGCAUUUCUUUCCUUUAUUUCUAAAAACCCAUUUUCCCUUUAAAAAAAACACCCACGCAUUUAUUUUUUAACAAAACACAUUGUAGUCAUGAUUGAAUUGAGUAACAAGUUCCUAAGCAUUCUAGCCGUAAUUAUCAUCCAAACAGAGCAAAUCAUAUUUAGAGAUAAUUAUAGGAGAUCAAGGAAUAUUCAUAACAAUCAAGGGGUGGCUAUCCAACCAUGUUUCAGCAGUAAAACAAUAUGCAAUUUUAUAAAAUAGGUCAAUAGGUUGUGUUUGAAAAACUGGGAUAAAUAUGCAUCAAAGGGUGGGAUUGGACUUGCCGUCCUUAAAGCCUCCGGGAGUUCCUGCUCGCGGUACGGGUCUUUGGGCUCCGACUCGCGUUACUGGGCUUCAAGUUUGUCUUCGGGCUCCUCCGCAGCCACUGCACGAUCUACCCGUCGAGGUCGAAGGGAGGGAGUGAACUAAAAAUAUGAAAUGAGGAGUAUUUUCAGGGAUUUUGUAGAUGACUCGGUGCAAAUAUAUGUAAGAAUGACGUGGUCGAAUUUGGGGUUUAUUGGAGGGAGUUUGGCGCAUGAAAUGACAAGAUAACAGUGUAUUUAGGGGGUUAAAAUGAGCUUAGGACCAAUCUGCGAGAACCAAGGACCUAUUUCUAAUUAUCUUUGGGAGGUGGAGGGGUUUGGGUGCAAAAAUAAAUAAGCGGAUGGGUGAAAAAGCAAAAUAGCCUUUCUUACAGAGUCAUGCAUGGGAAAAGGCACAGGAAGAACGGGAGAGCGGCACGGUUGGGGAGAGGGGGUGCUGGGGCACGGCGACGGUCGGAAAGUGGGGGAAAACGGAGAGUAGGCUGAGGGGAUUUGAUUCCUCUCCUUACCUUUGGCUGAGGUGGCUCCUGAAGGUGGUUCCGCAGUGACGGGUGGGAGACUUCGAGGGCGGCACUGGGAGCACGGGAGUGAGGGAGUUGGGCGGGAAGCUCGGUAGUGGAGUCGAGAGUGGAGCGGAGGUCAUAGAUGGGAGGCAAGGUGGAGCGGGCUGUCGACGGGCGGCGCACAGGAACGGGCGGAGUUAAUGGCCAUCGGGAUGCUCGGGCACAGGAUGGUGGCGUGGCGACGUGGAGCUCCGCAUGCGUGGCGUGGCGAGGCCGGGCUCACGCAGCGAGGCGAACAAGGAUGCCAUGGCGUGCUCGAGCAGCGAUGCGCGUGGUUGGGCGCUGGUGGCGAGCUGUUAGUGCGGCGCGGCGUCGGGAGCGUGGCGUCGCUGUGCGCUGGGGAGGCGAGGGCACGAUCGGUGCUGGAGGCGAGGCCUGGGCUGCGCGUGUGCGGGGCGCGGUGUAGGGAUGCACCCUAGUGUGCGGUGGCGCUGUGGCGAGGUGCGUGCGAGGGAGGAUCAGGGCACUGGGCAACGAUGCGCUGGGGUACGUGCGUUGUGCAGGUGGGGUCGGGGGUGGCGGGAGGUGGCGUGCAGCACCUGUGCGGGCAGCAGAGGUGCAGGGGGCCAGCGCUGGGGGCUAUGCGCGAUGCUGCGCUAGGGAGGGAUAGGUGCGGGCCCAGGGGAAGCACUGGCGCACUAAGAAAAGCCAGGCACCAGGCGACGGGUGCUGGAGCAUGCGGCAGGGGAAAGGAAAAAAAAGAAAGAAAGGGAGAAAAAGAAUCAUGCGCGUCCAUGCUGAGCGGCAGGUGCUGGUGAGAUGCGUGCGGCUAGGAAAAUGAGUCAUGUGCAGCAGGAGAGAGAAAAAAGGGGGGAAGGGAAAAAGAAAAAGAAAAAGGAGGGGAGAAGAGAAAAGAAAAGAAGGGAAAUAAGGAAGAGAAUAAAAAGGCAGAAAAAGGGAAGGAAAAGGGUGAGGGAAAAAGAGAAGAAAAAUAGAGAGACGGCAGUGAUUGUGAGAAUGGUUGCGGGCACACGCGGGAAUCUUUCGUCUGGCACGAGGCGUGACACGCGGAGAAGGAAAAAUGGAAAAUGGAUAGAUGGUGGUCGGCUUCGAUGCCGGACGGCGAACUUGUCGGGAAGACUGGAUUUUAGAGAGCUUAAGCAGUGAAAGAUUUUGAAAGCGAUUUUUAGCGACUGAUUUUGGUUGGUGAAUUUUAUGGGCGUUACAGUGCGGCCUGGAGUGAUGCUCUUGGCGCGCUGGCGGAGGCGGCUACUGAUCCUGCUGCCACUGUCGCAGCUCAUCGCCGUGCGCCUGCGCUUGCACUAGGGCCUCCGCACGGUGGUUCGGCGGGGUGUGAGUCUCAACAGACUCCACCACCUCCGGAAGCUAUUCUAGGGCGUCCGCCAUGGCGCACUCCCGGGACAGAGGAUGGUCAAGUGCCAUCAUGGCACCAAUGCUGGAGGCGUCGCUCUCAAGCUCCUCGUCGCAGAGGUCGUGGAAGGAGGCAGGAGCAGAGUCUGCCAUUCCCACGAACUCGCGCGGGUAGAUUGAUGACGUCAUGACCCUCCAGAGCCCCCGCGUGUACGCGUCCACGGGGGACGCAAGACCAAAGGGGAGCCAGCCGUGUGGCGAAUGUGGUGGGGACAAUGGAGCUCCUCCGAAGAGCUGGUUGAAAGUGUUAGCCAGUGAAUACAUGAUAGUGUCCAUGUCAUUCAUCGUGGGGUUCGUGCCCAACACGGACUCGAUGCGGAGCGCAAGUGCCUCCACGUCAAGGUCGUCGAGCGGCUCGCAGAUGAUGAUGCGAGCCACCUUUCCCGAGGAUGCCGGGGGAGUCGUCUCCUCACGCAGGCGGAGUACGCCGAGCUUACUGAUGAUGAAGUCCAGACUUCCGAAGCGGAAAGCCUGGGAUAGCGCGAAGACAGGUGGAACCCACAUCCCACCGAGGGUGGGCGCGAGAAACUCCAGCGAGCCGAAGCGAAUUGUAUCGCUCGAGCCCACCAUGCUGAAGGUAGCGGUCAGGUGGGCCAUCUAAUGACCUACAAAACGCGAACGCAACAGCGUCUUACCCACAGAUGGCGCCAACUGUUGGUGUGAAAUCUAGUUGACAAGUAAAUAUUUGUAGUUUUACCGUGCGUUAGAUCGGAUAUGGCCUAGCACACAAUGACAUAGGAUGUAUACUGGUUCGGGCAACGCGCCCUACGUCCAGGCGGGGUCAGUCGGUCGACUUUAUUCCUGAGCCUAGGUGCUCAAAGUUUGUAGUGGGGGUACAAAUGAGAGGAGGAUGAGAGGGGGUGCUUGAUUCCUGGUUUUGUUCUCGUCUCAGUGGAAGAGAGUGGCAGGAGCUCAGAUGUGCGCUAAGUGUGUGAGAGUGUGAAAGCGUAAGAGUGUAAGAAUGUAAGAGUGCGUAAGUCGCAGAGCUGGAGGGUCCAUCCCCUAUUAUAGUACAAGGGAACGGCCUUACAGGUCGGAAAGGAUAAGAGAGUGAGUGUACGGGUGCUCCUAGUCUUGUCGAAGUACAUGUCGUCUGGUGUGAUAUGGCCUCCGUCCUUGGUCUUUGUUCUCCUCGUUAAGCCACUCCGUCGUAGCGAGUAAGUUUAUAGUGGUACUGUAUAGGCGUGCACAGGGCGUGGCACGGUACGGUUCUGCAUACGACCGGCUGACCCGGUGCUUCCUCAUUAUCCGUCCCACCUGCUGAAGCGUCCCCACAUAAGUAGAGAAUAAAUAUGAUCCAAUUAUCACUCACAGGAGGCUGAUACCACAUUUAUUCAACAGACAGUUCAGAAACCGUACAACUCCCGAAGGAGCGGGCGGGCAAGCCACACCCAAAGUAAAACUAAAGCGAUAACAAUACAAAUCCAAGUUGCAGUCCAGUCGGACUCUGGGCUGCAAUCGGAACUAUGCGUCAGGGGAAGCAUUCUGCAAAAGGGCCAACACCGAAGGCAGCGUUGGGUGCAGACGCAACCUCCUACUCGAAGUCCUCGGCGACGUAGUCCAGAUCCUCCUCUGAAGCAACAAAACAGGGGUGAGUACUAAAGUACUCAACAAGUCCAACCCCAUCCACGGAGGGGGAUACAGCAAGAAUAUGCAUCGGAUACAACAAGGAUAUGGUUAUGGUUUAUUUGCAAGAAAGCUAGAUUUUCAACUCAUGCAUGGGGUCAUUUUCAAAGAGUUUUUCACAAGUAAUUUAUUUUAAUAACCGAAACGUCAAGUGGGGUUGACCCUACACAAAGGGUCCAAGUUUUAUCGCUACCGAACUCCCCGUCUGCCGUAGCGCACGGCACAACUGCCGGACACUUCCAAAAUCCAACACACACCAAAGGAACCAACCAUUCCCAAAAGCUAGUUAUGUGACCAAGCCGUAACUCGUCCAAUGCCGUGGACACGGCUACCCGGAUAGGUUUUAACUCUGCAGAGGUUGUACACUUUUCCCAUAAGUAGGGUACCGCAGCACAAAUCACCUUAGUGGCGGUGCGGAUCCUAACAAAGCCAUUACCCACCUUAGCCAAAACUGAGUAGUCAACACGGAAGCACCCAAGGGGUUAACGACCCAUCCACGAGGCUGAAACGGCGACCUAAGUCACCAAGAGCUUAAUCCUUUUUCCAUGGGCUCCCGUCGCUCACCAGCACACCUGAAGCCUAGCAGUUUAGCUAGUGGGAUUUAUGCUAAGCCGUUGCCCAUACAACGGUCGAGUGGUUGCACGAUGGUUGAAUUAGGCAACAUGACACAUCAACUUGGUCCUUAGCCAUGACAAGAUGGAUAUCUCCCAACUUUGCUCAACCACUAAGGUACGAGCUCAACAAACCGGCAUUUCACACAAGAAACGCCCAUCCAUCUCAUUCACACACCACUUCUUUUUACACCCGAAAACCCAUCUCCUCAGUUGAACACACUCACACAUUUAUUUUCCGAAUAAACAAGUGUAGUCAUGAUUGAAUUUGAGUAACGAGUUCCUAAGCAUUCUAGCAGUAUUUAUCAUCUAAACAGAGCAACUCAUAUUUAGAGAUAAAUAUAGGACAACAAGGAAUAAUCAUAACAAUCAAGGGGUGGCUAUCCAACCCUGUCUUGCAAUAAAACAAUAUGCAUUUUAUAAAAUAGGCCAAUAGGUUGUUUGAAAAACUGGGUAUUAAAUAUGCAUCAAUGGAUCAGGUCGGACUUGCCGUUCUCAAAGCCUUCCGGGAGCUCCUGCUCGUGGUACUGGUCCUCAGGCUCGGUCUCACGGUCGAACUCUUCCUCAUGCUCCUCCUCGGGUACUCCGCGAUCUACGGCACACACAAACGAGCACACAAUAAAUAAAAAGAAAAAGACUUUACCCGUUGAGCUCUGAACAGGAAAUGUGAAUGGAAAAUGGGUAGGAAGGGUAUUUUCAUGAAAUUUGGAUAUGCCUCGGCGGAAAUAUAUGAGAGGAGGCCGUGGUCGAAUUUGGGAUCGAUUGGAGGAAGUUUGGCGCAUGAAAUGACAGGUUAAAGGGAUGUUAGGGGCUUUAAAACAAGGUUUAGGACUGAAUUGUGAAAAUCGAGGACCUAUUUGUAAAUAUUCUAAAAAGUGGAAGGGCUCAGCUGUGAGAAUCCCUAGGGAGAGGUGGAAGGACCGGGUUGUAAAUAAAAGAAACAAGAGGGGCAGAUCGAAAAUCGAAUUCCUCUCUUCUUCUUCUUUCCUCUACUUCCGAACAGAGGUGGGGGGGGGGGACACGGCCGGCGGCGGGUCGGCCGGCCUGACCCACCAGCGGCGAGGCCGAGCGGCGGGGAAGAUAGGGGAGGGUGAGAGGAGUCCAUUUGACCCCUCACCUUGGGCGAUUUGUGGCCGGACCAAGGGGACCGACGGUGGCAAGGAAGCGCAGCGGAGGUCCUGGCGGCGGCGGCGGUUGGCGCCGGGAGAGGCGGACGGAGGAAGGCCGGCGAGCUUGGGAGAUGGUGUUGGUCGUGUGGGGGAGGCGGCAGAGCUCGGCCCCUCUUUUAUAGGCGGCGGGGAGGGCGUCGGCGCCCGAGGCGGCGGGACUGGUGAUUUGACGGUGGCCGAACCUGUCCGGCCGGUGGCGUGCCGGAGUGGACGUGCACGUGGUUGGCGUGGCGGGGAGGCGCGGUCGCCAAGGGCGCACAGGGGCGGCGACUGCGCGGGGAGGCGCGCCGGGAAUGGGGGUGCGUGGCGGUCGGCGGGCGACCCGGAUCGGCCGGCGGCGCGCGGCGCGGCACGCGCGGCCUGGCGCUGGCGGAGGGGUGCGCGCGAGCGCGUGCGGGGCAGGCGGCGCGGCGCGGUGGCAGUCGCGCGCGCGUGGGCAUGGCGUGGGCCCAGCGCGCGUGCGGGAGCUGUACGUCUGGGGGGGCGCGCAGGGGCAGGCAGCGUUCGGGCAGCGCGAGGAGGGAAAGGCCGGGCGCCUGGCGCCAGAGAGGAAAAGGAGGAGAGAGAGAGGAGGAGGGAAGGAGGAGGGAGAAGAAGAGGAAGAAGGAAAAAAAAGGAGAAAAAGAAGAAAGAGAAAGAAAGGGAGAAGGAAAAGAAAAGGGAGGAAAAAGAGGAGGGGAAAGUGGUGAAAAUUUCGGGAUCUGACCGGCGCGCGUGAUGGAUUUGACGGGCACGCGGCGAAAAACACGGGGCACAGAUAAAGAGGGUUGACGACGUUGGGGCCGGAACGGCGAAUCUGACGAGAAAGGAAAAGAUUUAUCGGGGCUCAACGGUCAGAAAAUUUUGGAAUGCAUUUUUAACGGGUGAUGUAAUUUGGUAAAUUUCCACGGGCGUUACACCUGCUCCCUGGGCCCAUAUUGAGCGAGCAUCCCUGGUCGAUUGUACCAGUCGGCCCCGACUGAGUCGGUCGGGGGAGCGUUACGGGUGGUACGGCGUAUCAUUAGUCGGGAGGAUCGGUCGGAAGUACCCGGUCAGGAGAGCUCAGUCGGGAGAACUCAGUCGGGGUUGGACUGUGGUCCCUCCCUUAACUGGCUCUUUCCAACCAGUUGGCUGGUGGCCAGAUCGUGGUCUCGGUCUGGCUACGUGUAGUUGGGCUAGCCUAGAUAUGUGUUGUUGUUGUGCCCUUUGUUGGGCCAAGUGUCGUGGGAAGGCAGUCUUGUUGGGGACCCCGGGUCUAUGGACCCGUCAAUCCUUCUCCUGACCCAAUGAUUCCACCAUUCCUUGGUAGCAGUGAGGCCUUGAGUUCUUAAGAUCUUGAUGCCCAAUUCUGUAUGUCUCAGGAGGGGGGUUCAACAGCUAGUGAUGCUAUGGCAAGUGCAAGUACGCAAGCUAUGCAAACUCAGCCAACACAGCCAUGUGGGUCAUCUAAGAAGGUGGUUUUUCUCUACCCACAUUAGCUUCCAUAUUGAAUCCUAGUAUCCCUCUGGAGGAAUCGUCGAUUCGUAGAGGCAACAGACUUAGUCAAAACAAAUAUGGAUAUCAGUUUUUUCAGCUUGAAGAUCAUCCAAGGAAAAAGGCAGAGGGUUUGGGCGGAGGUGCCCAUAAAAAUAAAUGAUGCGGAUAAGCUUCUGGAUAAUCCACCCAAGCCAACUGAUGAGGUAGUCUCUAGAUAGGUCCCAAUGGAAAUCAUGCAUGGUUGGGCAAUUGACUGCAAUGUCGCUCCUAAGGAGCUGACAAAAGAUGCCCUUAUGGAAGGGCAACCAUCCUAGGUGAACCCAUGAAGAUACAACAUAUGGAAGCUCUGUGCAGGAAGACAUCUUUUGGUAAUGAUCAUUUUGCAAGAUGGCAGCGCUUACCUGCAGUCUCUUUAAUUUUUGUUAUGUCUUUGUUUGUGUUUUGUGGUUGCUACUUAGUCCAAACCUAUUUUAGUCCUUUUCGUGACACAAAGUAAAGUUUGAUGACAAUUGUGAGCUGUGGUUUGCUCCUCGCGUGCCUGAUCCUUCCAGGCUCUAUUUUCAGUUUAUCAAGGGCCUUCCUCCUAAAUCUGCUUCUGGUCUAGAAUUUCACUCUUUCUGCUUCACCGUGUACUUGCUGCAUUGGUUUUUCUCAUCCAUUUCUUGGUGUCAACAUGAAUAGAAGUUGGACUAUUCUUUGUUGAACAUUAGGGGUAUUAACAAUGAUAGGAAGUUGGAUGCUUUGAGAAAUAAAAUAGAGGAGAGUGCGUGUGCGGUUAUUUGCCUGCAACAAACUAAAAGAGAAAGCCUUGACACCCCCUAUAUUAGGAAUUUUGCUCCUAGACGUUUGGAUAAGUUUGAUUACAUUCCGUCAGUGGGACCAUCUGGAGGCAUUCUUGUCAUUUGGAACAGUUAUAUUUUUUAUGCUUGCACGUUGGAUAAAUAGAACUUUGCUAUCUCCCUAUCUUUUCCUUCUUGCCACUCUUUGGAAACUUGGAAGUUAUACACAGUCUAUGGCCCUUGCAUUGAGCUAGCUAGAUCAGAAUUUAUACAGUGGCUAAGGAACAUUCACAUUCAACAAGAUGAUAAUUGGAUAUUUAUGGGGGACUUUAAUUUCUAUCGAUCUCUGGAUGAUAGGAAUAAGCUAGGUGGUGACAUUCAUGAUACUAUCGUUCAAUGAUGUUAUUGGUCACCUCGGCUUACUGGAACUUCCUAUCAAAGGGAGGACUUACACAUGGAGUAAUAUGCAGCAAUAUCCUAUCCUAGAGCAGCUAGAUUGGUUCUUCACCACAGUCAAUUGGACUGGUUCCUAUCCAAAUACCAUGAUCCUACCCUUGGCCAAACCAAUUUCAGAUCACAUUCCAUGCAAAGUGAUGAUUGGGACCUCAAUUCCUAAAUCCAGGAUUUUUGGUUUUGAGAAUUUCUAGCCCGAGGUCAGUAGUUUUAUGAUAAAAGUUCAAAACAGCUGGAUAGUCACUCCCAAUCAUAAAUCUGGGUCAGCACCUAUCUUGGCAACAAAAUUUAAAAAUCUAUGACAAGCCCUCAAGAAGCGGAGCAAGAAUAUAUCAAACUUGAGCAAAUUGAUAGAAAAGUGCAACAAGACCAUCCUGUUUUUUGAUUGCCUAGAAGAAUGCAGGCCCCUAUACAUCACUGAAUGGAAUUUUAGAAAGAAAAUUAAGGAUCACCUAUUACAACUCCUGAAUUUUAAGAACCUGUACUGGAAGAAGAGGUUCACUGCUGACAGAAUCAAAUGCGGGAUGAAUGUACUAAAUUCUUUCAUGCCAUGGCAACAGUAUCCUAUAGGAAGAAUUCGAUCUCUCAGCUUAAGGAUGACAGUGAUCUGGAGGUGCAUAAGCAUGAGGGCAAGGCAGCCCUGAUUUGGAAUGCUUUUAGAAAUAGAAUGGGGAUCUCCUCCAACCUAGCUAUGCUUUUUUAUCUUCAUAAUCUGUUAUCUAGGAGGUUGAUCUUUCAUAUUUUACUCAACCUUUCACUAGAGAAGAAAUUGACAGAAUUGUUGCCUUAAUGCUUUCAAAUAAAGCACUUGGCCCUGAUGGCUUCAAUGAUCUUUUCAUUAAAAAGUGUUGGCCAAUUAUUAAGGAGGAUUUUCAGAAACUUUGUCAGGAUUUCUUUGAUGGCUCCAUUUCACUAGAAUCGAUCAAUACCUCCUUCAUAACUCUAAUUCCAAUGAAUAAUAAUCCAGAGAUAGUUAACGACUAUAGAUCCAUUUGGCUACUUAACUGCAGUAUCAAAAUCCUAACUAAGAUCCUUGCAGAGAGAUUACAGCUGGUCAUUCUGUUACUUCUUCACAAGAACCAAUAUGGCUUCCUCCAUUCCAGAACUAUGCAAGACUGUCUUGCAUGGUGUUUUGAAUAUAUACACCAAUGCCAUCAAUCCAGAAGGGAAAUUCUCAUCCGUAAACUUGAUUUCGCAAAGGCUUUUGACACAGUAGAGCACUUCGCAAUGCUGGACAUUAUGAAACGCAUGGGAUUUCCUGAGAAAUGGUUGAAUUGGAUUAACCUGCUCUUCACCUCUGGAUCAUCCUCGGUUUUACUCAAUGGGGUUCCUAGCAAACAGUUUCUAUGUAAAUGAGGGGUUAGACAGGGCGAUCCUCUCUCUCCACUCCUCUUCGUCAUUGCAGCAGAGCUUCUGCAAGUGGUUGUCAAUAAGGCUUUUCAAGACGAACACCUUGUAGCACCCCACCCACAAGCUCAUCCUGACUUCCAUAUAGUCCAAUAUGCUAAUGACACCAUCCUAAUUAUGCAGGCUAAUAGUACACAAUUGCAAUACCUAAAAAAGUCUUCUUCAUGUUUUCUCAGAGUCUACAGGUCUCAAGGUUAAUUAUAACAAGUCCUCUAUGAUCCCUAUCAAUAUUUCGGAUCAGUUAAUAGCACAACUAGCCUCUGAGUUUGGAUGCCAGAUUGGGAGUAUGCCGUUUGCGUAUCUUAGACUACCGAUGGGCACAACAAAACCAAAAUAGAUGACUUCUAACCUAUCAUGGACACGAUUGAGAGAAGACUCACUGCCUGUUCUUCGCUUCUGUCCUUGUCAGGAAGACUUCAACUGGUCAAUUCAGUUAUCACCUCAAUAGUGUUAUACCCCAUGUGCACCUUGAAACUUCACAAAGGGGUCAUUGAAAAUAUUGACCGGGCUAGAAAACAAUGUCUCUGAAGAGGGAAUGAUUUCAGUAAGAAAGAGGGAAAUUUAGCAGCUUGGUCACUUUACCCAAGGAAAAAGGAGGUCUUGGAGUUAUAAACCUUAGAGUCCAAAAUGAUGUACUCCUACUGAAGCAUCUUGACAAAUUCUAUGCUAAACACGAUACCCCUUGGGUAAACUUGAUAUGGUCAUCAUAUCAUGUUGAUAGAGUGCCUCAUGCCACGAGAGAGAUAGGGUCUUUUUGGUGAAAGGACAUCCUGUGCCUAAGUACUCUCUUCAGAGGGGUCGCUACUUGCACUAUUGGGAUGGAUCGACAGCCAUGUUCUGCGAAAACUUAUGGAGUGCUCAAAUCAUUGCUGACCUUUAUCCCAGGCUUUUCUCCUUUGCAAGAAACCCAAACCAGUCAGUCAAGGAUGUUAUGGCAGCCCAAGACUUAUCUACCAUCUUUACCCUCCCGCUAUCCUAGGAAGCCUUUGGAGACUUGGUUGCACUUCAAUCCUACCUGCAAGAUUUCGUGCAUAGUGAGGACUCCAAAGAUAUUUGGGUUUACAUUGGGAAAGUGCCAACUACACCUCUGCCAGAUUCUAUAAGCUUGGAUUUUCAGGGUUGCAAACCCCUGAGACUUUUGCUUGGCUAUGGAAAUCAAAAUGUACGCCUCAGGUCAAGUUUUUUGCCUGGUUACUCUUGGUGGACAAACUGAAUACAAGAAAUAUUUUACGAAGAAGAAACCUGAAUGUGCAAUCUCGAUUAAUUGUGUUUUGUGUAACAACGUUGUUGAGGAAGAUAGGGAUCAUCUUUUCUUCAAAUGCCCCUUUUCCAUUAGUUGCUGGUCCAAGUGGAACAUCUUCUGGAGUACUCAUGCAGUGAUUCAUAGAAGAUUAUCCAGAGCAAGAAAUGUAGCAGAUCAUCCUUUCUUCAUGGAUGUCUUCAUCCUGGCGCCCUGGGAAAUCUGAAAAAUGCGUAAUGCCAUCAUCUUUGACGUAGCAAGACCAAGUGUGAUCCAUUGGACUGUGAAGUUCAAGGAACAUGCUCUUUCUUCAAUCUAUUCGCUUUAAGAAAGAUUGUAGAGUUCUUUUUUUUGCAAUGGCUUGACUCAGUGUUGUAACUAUUUUCCCCCUUCCUUCCCCCUCCCCUUUUUCCCUCUGUAAGUAUGCCCUCUGAACUUGUCUAACCUCCUAUUUUUUAUAGAAAACCGAAGUGGUGUGGGGAACUCCCCCACAAUUUGCCCUUCAAAAAAAAUUAUCUCCCCUUUCCACCUUCUUUAUCUCUCUUCUUACUUUCCUUCCUUUGUGCCCCCACUACUACUUGUUUUUGACUGAGCAUCGAGAAAUUUGCAAUAAAUAUAGACUACUAACACUACAAGAUUCACCCUUUUCCCUUACAGUUCCUUUUAUAAACAGCCAACAAUUCCAGUAUAUUUGAUUCACUAACUCUAAAACUGUGGGGGGUGAAGUUGUCGGGGAUUAUAUUGUUGGCAAUUCAUCAAAACUAUGGGGAAUGAUGGAAAAUUAUACUACAAACAUUAUUGGCCACUGUGGGGAAUGAUGAAAAAUUAUACUACAAACAUUAUUGGCCACUUACUAACAUGCUAAACACUGUAUAGCAUUUUAAAAAUUGUUGGGAAUAAUGUCAACUCUUGUAGUGAGAUGCAUGAUCCGCAACUAAGGAUUAUUUGGUCCAAAUAUAUUGGGCUUCGCCCUGAGCAGUGAUUUGGGAGGUCGAGGAUGAGCUCCACCGGUUCGUUGACCAAGUAAUCAAUCGGCAAAUAAUUAAAAAGUUACUCCCUCCGUCCUACAAAAAUUGUUCGUUUAAAAAAAAUUAGACAAGAUAAUAGCAAUGUUAAAAGUUCAAUGUGCCCCUAAUGACUCUUUUUACUCGGAUGGAUUACCGAGUAGAAUUAAUUAUGCAAGCAUGUUUGCAGUAAUUGUCGGACCUAUUAGUCUUCCUUAUUUAGCGAGUCUGACUCGAGCAUUGAUGGUGGGAGUAAAUGAUCGAUUCGUAAACUAAAUCAAAAAGUAAAACGAGGAGUUUUGGUGGAUGAUGCGGAAGUUAUAUGAACUUUUGAAAACGGGACGGAGGGAGUACACUCAACACUCUGACUCCGCUGCCCUAUGAGCAUUUGGCAGCCAGAUCAUGCAGCUCCGAUCCUGUGCACUCUACGCUUCUACAGUAGUGGCAGCGGGGCACCGGCUCGGUGGGUGUGAACAGUGAACCUAAGCUUGCGGUUAGUGUACCAGUGGUAGCUUUACGACUAGCUCCGGCUUCCCGGGCGAACAGUGUCCGCCGGAACCGGGCCGCCAAACUCUCGAGCCGUGGCGCAAGGUGGGCGACGGGGAGAAAGCAGCCGAGUUGGGUGGUGGUGCAAGUACGUAGAGCCAGACCUCCAACUGCAAGCAGUACUGCUGCCGCGAAGAACGUGACGGUGGUUGGUUGCAACGGUAACGUCCUGCGGGGCAUUAUGCGCCGCUACUGUGCACGUUGACCGCGUGAUCACUGUCUCACUGUCACUGGCGGCAUAUGCAUUGCAUGCAUGCUAUAGCUCUCGCCUCUCGGGCUCGGCGCGAGGACGGGCACGGCAUGGCCGUCACGUCGCCGUAGUGCAGGCCCACCCAGCCAGGCACGGCGUACUCCUACUCCUAGGGCGCUAUAGAGCGGACUCGACAGGCGAGUGGCGCGGAGUGGGCGAGUCACGUCGCUGUCGAACCCGAGGCGCGAGGCGGGCCAGGAGACACCCAAUCAGAUCGCACUAGCCGCGAGGCUGGUUGCUUGACCAGUCAAGAUCCGGGUGGGGCCGGCGCAGAUCCGGGCGGGGCCUCGUGCCCGUCGUGCGCGCAUUCAUCGCUCCCUGCGGAGCCUGCUCCCCUCGGCGACCUCGGGAGAGAGCGACGUCUCAGGUCUGGCGUCUGGCUCUGGCCCCUCCGUCGCCUCGAGAUACGCGCCACGACGGCCCUGUGUGGUGGUGGCAUGGCAUCACGGCGCAGAGCCCUCCUCGUGCUCUGUGUACCUGAGUACUUGUGCCGCUGGAGCGUUUGGCAACUUGGCAAGGGCUGGAUCUCGCUUGCACCGAUGUGUUUAUCUUCUCCAGAAACCAACAGCUGCAGCCAAAACAGCCAACGUGGGUGCCUGCUUGGGUGGGGUGGUGCUGCACUGCUGGCUGCUGCUGCCCGCGUGCCUCGUCCCUGUGCUACCGCGACCACUACUGCGGGAGUGCAACUGCAAAGCCUAUCCCGCGCGGACAGAGCUGCACACCGGAAUUCAGCACCGUGUGGAGAACAUCAGAUUUUCAGAAUCCAAAAUCCAGAAUCUGUCAGGCCUCUUGCUGCGUAUCCAUAAUCAUAUCUAAAUUCACACCUAAUUUAAAUGAAAAAAAAUAUGUGUAGAAAAUUAUAUAUCUAUUGAAGAUAGGAAGGGUAGAGUACAGGAAGGUACAAUUUAUCCAUUGGAUAUAUAUAUAUUAUCUAGUAUAAAAUUAAUUAUUUAUUGGAUAUGUGUGAGAAUAGAAAGGGUGAGGAUUGGAUAAUAUAUAUUUGGAUUUGGAUACGAACAAGAGUGGGUUUGUCCAUACCCUCCCCAGUGGCCGGCCUAUCUGAGAUGGCCUAUCUGAGAUGCCUCCAAACAGGAUAGAUUCUAGCCCAAAUUCUAGAAUCUAAAUUUUGAAUUGUGAGAAUCCUAGAAGUUGCUCAAGGGUUGAUUCUACCGUAUUUUGCAUGUAUAUUUUUACCUUUUUGCCCACCAUCCUUUUGAAUAAUUACCCGAUAUACCAUUGUCCAUUUUUUGAUAGAAGGGUAUAAAAGACAUCUAUCCAACAAACUAGCAUACGAUCAGAUUUUGGAAUCUAGGAUCCAAACAACACCAUCCAUAAUUUACUUAGAAUCUAGAUCUGAAAUCCAUCCAAAAUUUGUAUUUUCAAAAUCCACUACUGGAUUCAAACGGGACCUUCUUUCGGUCCAAAAAUCAACAUCUACCUCUGGUCCAGGUUGAAUACCUAUAAAUUCUAGAACCCACCCAGCUUGUAGAAUCCAACUAUGGAUCCCAACACUCUAGCAUCUGCCACAGAUUUUAGAAUCCAAAACUAGCGGAUUCCAAAAUCCUAGACGCCGAGGAAACAUAGCUUCAAGCUGAGCAAAUGAUGAUAUUACCCUAACCUUUUUCACAUCCCCGUGCUACCAGCAAGGGUAUUAUAGGUAUUUGGUACCAUAAAGCAACAGUCCAUCCACCCUAGUACUGGUUUUUUAUUAUACGGAGUUUAUGGAAACUAUAGUCAUCAAAUUAUUUUUUGUGUAUUUGAAGGAUGUCUGAACUUUGGCAAACAGGCUGUUAGGUAAGGGUCAACUAACCAAGAUGCUCCUGCCGAUAGCAAUAACUCGUUUUGCCUUCUGCUGCUAACCAUUCUUGCCAUUGGGGUGUUCUUGUUCUUUACGGAAAGGGAGCAGCCAUCCACGAGUGACUGAGUGCGUAGCAUGGCAAAUUUUCCGUUUGCUUCAUCUGGACAACUCCUUUCCCUUUUUGAGACGACGGCGAGGCGACGAAAUUUUGACAAAGGAUGCCCAUUAAACGUCUAAAAGUUACUACUACUUCUAUCGCCGGUAAUAUAUGCCCUUUAUGAAGGAUCUGCACGUCUAUGUGACGACAAGAAACAAAAGAAAAACGAAUAAUACACCUACAAAAAUCGACCAAAGUAUUUGAGAGAAUAUGUACCCGUGAGCGAUCGAUUGAUCUGGAGGCAGGAAGAUUUCUGAAACCGAGGUUGCAUCCAUCUUUCUCCGAAAGGACGUGAAGGUGCAGGUCCCGGCACAAUUUUACUUUACAGGCGUUCAGAUUCUGUGUAUGCCGCCGGUUUUUUUCGUUUUUGAAAAAGCAUCACUUGUUGGCAUCCGUGGAUCCACACGAUCCUCUUGACGAGACAGAUGAAGCUGGGGGCUUUUUAUCCUUGUCGUUUCUUUGGAGCAAUUUUAGGGUUUGCUUUCCAGCCGGUCACGUGUACUCUACACCCUUUGCAGGAACGAUAUGGUUAGGUUCGACCCUCUUGCAGUCUUGCUAGAUCUUCCGAAAUAUAUUUAGAUUUGUGUUAAACUGUCACCUCGGAUGUUCGGAUGUUAAAUAGAAGGGCUAAAUAUGAGUUAAUUAUAAAACUAAUUGCAGAACCUCUUGGCUAAUUCGCGAGAUGAAUCUAUUAGGUCUAAUUAAUCCAUCAUUAGAAAAUGCUUACUGUAGCACCACAUUGUCAAAUCAUGAACUGAUUAGGAUUAAUAGAUUCGUCUCGCGAAUUAGACUCCAUCUGUAUAAUUAGUUUUGUAAUUAGCCUAUGUUUAAUACUCAGUAAACAUCCGAUGUAACAUGCGCUAAACUUUAGCGGGUGGUAUCCAAACAUCUCCUUAUUAUUGUGUUCUCAAAGAUUUUUAAAAAAAUUCUUGAGUUCUCGAUGCUAAUAUCGAUCAUAUGUCCUUUGAUGCUUAGGCUAGUCCCAGUGCAAGGUUUCAUUGCACAGUUUCCAAGGAUGCCACAUUAUCCCAUGAGGUGUAUUCUCAUGAAUGAAAUAGAGAGUCCCAGUGCACAGUUUCAUUUCACGAUUUCAUAGGAUGACCAUCACAUUUAAUUGUGAGGCAUGUGAUUAGAUAUAGUAGAUGAAAUGAAAACUCUAUAGCACCCAAUGCAAGUUUCAUGGUCUUGGAAACAAUUUCAUCCUGAUGAAACUACUUCCCUCUCUAACUUCAUAAUUAUCAUGCCAUGUCAUCAUAUAUGCUGAUGCGUCACUGUAUUUAAUGUGUAUGAAGCCUCUAUGAAAUCCCCACUGGGAUUAACCUUAUAAUCCUCUUAUAUACUCGAAGAAAGCCCUCUCUCAUAUUGCAGCUGCGACACGUUUAGUUCGAACAAUAAAGUUGGACUUAAUUGCCGACUUCAGUAAAUCAAAACUCGUCAUGUCGUCUGAGUGGGUGUUUGGAAGGAGGGGCUAAAUUUUAGCCCCGUCACAUCAAAUGUUUGGACACUAAUUAGAAGUAUUAAACCUAAACUAAUUACAAAACUAAUUACACAACCCCUAGGCUAAAUCGCGAGACGAAUCUAUUAAGCCUAAUUAGUAACCAUUCACUGAUGAUGGAUUAAUUAGGCUUAAUAGAUUCAUCUCGCGAUUUAACCUAGGGGUUCUGCAAUUAGUUUUGUAAUUAGCUUAUAUUUAGUCCUCCUAAUUAGUAUCCGAAUAUCUGAUGUGACAGGGCUAAAGUUUAGUCCCUCCUCCAAAACACCCUCUAAAAGUAUCUCCACUCAUCUCUCUCCAUCCCUCCAAAAUAAACCAGGACCAGUUUUUUUUUCUUCGCUAGCUCUAUCUUCUCCAUCCACUACUACCGCGAAAAACUGCACUGGGAGAAGACCUCUCGAAAGCAUCCUAAACAUGUUGGUGGUAGUUUUCAAGAGAGUAGAAAAAUAGAAAAUGUGAAUAAUAUUAAAAGUACGACGUACCUAUAUACAUUUCUUAUGUAUAAGAAAAUUGUUUGUAAUGUAACGAUGGACCGAUAAUAAUGUUUUUGUGUGCCAGGCGAAAAAGGUACUACUAACAGGCAUAUCCUGUUAACUACUAACAGGAGUAUCCAUUUGACCUUGUAGAAUAGUAAAAUUGGAACCAAUAAACAUCAUCAAACGCUGCUAGAGGCACUCCAAGAGUCGGCCUAUUUUGGCCGACUAUUUUACUUGUGCUAAUCGUAGUUCCCGUUGACAUUCCGCAUGCUUAGCUCGCUUAAUUAUCAAGACAACGUACGCAAAAAGCACAGGCAUCUCCCCUAAAGCCCCAUAUGCACCUACCGUGGCAACGCGUCGACACCCGUCAAAGGCACAAAGACGUCACUGCCAAAACGGCAUUGAUCCUCAUCCAAGCUCACCGCCCGUCAUCAACCAAUUGAUUAAUGCAAAUGAACUUACGUGCCCAUGGAUCUGACCAGUCGUCUGGCCCCACGAUUCCCGAAUGGCCGAAUGACAGUAACAGUCUCGUGGAGAGCAUUUCAUCCGUUUUCAUAAUUGAAAUUAUAUUUCUCUGUUUACCGUGUUAUUAUGCAUACGAGCAUGUAUUCUCUUUGUUAUUAAAUCGUCGUUUUAGCUUUUCAGGUACGAUAACGUGAAGUUUAAAUAUAUUUUCGACAUAAUAAAAAUGAUGCACUUAAACAAUUCAAAACGAUUGAGUUUUGAGAUGGAGAAUAAUUUUUUACCCCAGCAACACAAGAUGUCAUGAAUUGAAUUGAGGAGGAUGAUUUUGGUGUGAGCCCAUGGACGCGGGUCGACGGCCUGGCUGAGAGGAAGGGAAAUCUACCGUUCGGCAUCACUACCUCUGGACGCUUCUUUCCACCGUAUACGUACUUUGCUUCCUACAAAAGCUACCUUCAAUCCUGUACACGAAAUCUAUUAGUAUUUAUUUACUCUAGAAAAAGACGGUAUGAAAGGAAACUGACCUGCCAACCCAACGGUAAAAAGGGAUUUUUUUUGGUAACUGGUAAAAUGAAUUGUAAGUAAUGGCAGGCAAUAAACACCUUCCAAACAGGCGGCCCUCUGGCCUCCCCCUCACCCCUUCUAUAAAAGCCACCUUACUCUCCUUCCCUUCCACCCAUGAACAGCAAGAAAGAAUAGUCUAGUCUCCAGCCUCCCCUCCCAGAUUCCCCUUCUCCUGUCUCUCCUCCCCAGUCGUCUUUCAAGUCCCCUUUUUGAAGCUUUGCUGCUCGUUUUUUUUUUAUAUCGUGCUUCUCCAUUAGUUUAUGGUGUUCUUGCAGAUCUCAUGUCUUUUUGGUGUUUGGUCUUUUGGUCAGCUGGAUGUUUGGAUUGGAAGCGGAGCUCCUAUCAUUCCAAUGAAGGGUCGUUUCGGUGGGUUGGUACCGCUGCUCGUUCAUGGUUCCCACUAUCCUAUCUCAUCGCCUGGAGGCUUAUCUUAGAGAGAGAGAGUUGAGUGGUCUGGUGUUUGCUUGAGAUAGGCUUGUGGCUUGCAUGACCGAGGAGCUGCACCGUCCCCUUGCUGGCCGCUCUUUGGAUUGAAGGGAGCUCUGCAUCUUGAUCCAACAAGGCCUCGUCUUUGCCUUUUUGUGCACCACUAAUGGCUGCUGCUUACCAUUUACAUGCUUAAUCUGCGUUGUUUCUCCUCGAUUGUUUGUGGAUCUUUUUAGUCCAUGUGCGUAGAUCUGGAGCUACUAUGUUCUUGUUCUGUAAUUUUUUUCUUCGUCUACUAUUUUUUUGCUUGUCCUGAAUCAGAGGUUCAGGAAAGUCUCUUGGGCAGAUGGGCUUAUCCGUGCAUCGUGCUGGAGGCUGGCAAGCAAGCAAGUAAGCAAGGGUACUUUGGCGUUGCUUUAUUCCUUUGUUGGUGAGAUGUUAUGUCACCCUUGUUUAUUGUUUUAUGUUCCUUUCGUAUUCACCCCGUUCGUACCGCGCGUGUGCAUUUCUGGUGGGGACUCUUGGAUCUCGCUCGCGACAUCUUCGUCUCCACAUCCCACUUCGAGGCGCCUGCUCGCCUUCCUUUUCUCGCGCCCUCCCGCCCCCCACCUGACAGAUUCGCAUCAGGUGCUCGGAUCUGAGCUCAGCGAGCGCACAUCACAUGUGGUGCCCUCGGCUACCUCCCCUUCUUUGUUUGUCUGGUUUGGGCCGAUGUUUGCAGGUCACUCUAGGCUAUCCUGUGUUCUUGGUGAUGAGCAGAUGCUGCGGAAGCCAAUCCAUGGCAUGCUCCGGAGCUCUCUCUGAGCCUGUGACGACGACGAAGGCGACGCCUGAUGUUUCUGCUUGAAGACCGGCGCUCAAGUGUGGAUUGUUGUGGCCACGGACUAUUGUUUGUUGUAUGGUUUCUGGUAAUGCGUUCCGUUGUGCAUUUUGUUGUAUCACAUCACCACGGAUUAUCACUAAUAAUCUCUGGUUCGGAAAGGUAGGGCAUCAUACGUUGCGUUGUCCGUGCCUCGGGAAGAAGUCCUUGCAACCUGGGCUUGUAAUAAGUUUAGAUGGGCCAUGCUGAAUGAAAAUUACCUACCAAUUUGGGUGUAAACUUGUAUGAUGAAUCCUUGAGGCACGAUCCUUGCAAUAUUAAUCAGAAUUCGGAGCAUGCAUUUUAAACCUUCUUCCUCGAUCUUCAGCUUAGAUGCGCAGUGGUAAUGGUGAACCUCAUCUACUAGCAAUGUAAUUGUUAAGGAGAGCUAUUUAUAUCGUCUAUUGUGCAUCGUGUUAUGGCAUUGUUUCUUUAAGUGAUACUAGUAGCACAUGAAAGCUUGUAGCUAGGUCUGACGAUAAACUCAUGACUCGCUAGCUCGCUUGACUCAGCUCGUUAGUGGUACUGAUUCAGUUCAUUAGAAAUUCUUCAUGAGGCGGGCUCAACUUAUAGCUCGUUAGAGGUAACGGCUAGCAGCACGCUGCAAACAAUCUAAUUUAGUGACAUCGAUCUAUUUUUUUUACUUGGAUUUAAUUUGUGAUCUCCAUAUUCGAGAUGCAAUUCCAGCGGCACCCUCUCCUCGUUGCUGCCUUUGUGUCCGUAUAUCAAGCCAGCUCGAGCUGACAAACAAGCCGAACUGAGCCAGACUUCUAGCUUGUUAAGAUAACGGGCCGAGCCGAGCUGGCUCGAUAUCCACGCCACUUGUAACACAUGUAAGCAUUGGAUGAAAGCGCAAAGAAAGAUCUUACAAUCCAGGCUCGUUUUGAGCUUUCGCGUAUUUUAGGCCAGCUUUUCCAUAUUUUAGGCAAUAGGCGAAAACGUAAAUACCAACUGUGAAAUGAAAAUUGAAAAUAACUAAUAAUGAAAGUAAAACAAAAAAAAUUCUCAAUACCAGGCUUGUUUUUAACCUUUUUUCUGUAUUUUAUGCCAAAACAUAGAUGUGAGUGGUAAAGAUAAUAAUUAUGAAAGUGAAAACAAAAGGUUCUUAAAAUCAGGACACGUUUAAAAGCUUUUCCGCGUUUUAGGUCUGAAAGUAAACAUGAAGUAAUAAAAUAAAUGUUUAUAAAAGUCAAAAUAGAAAGUUCUUAAAACAUGGGAUCGUUUUAAGCUUUUCCGUGUGAGGAGGAAUAAGGCUACUCACGCAUCACCACCGACCAGGAUGUUGGUCGAUUCUAACAGGUGGGCUUACCCGACCAUGCCGUGCGGGUCAAGGUACGAAGAAACGUGGAGCAUAAGUUCGGAGGCCAAGCGAACGGAUUCUAUCCGGAUAUCACGGGAUAUUUGUUGUAAACCGACUCAGAUUGCUUUCCAUUUAAUAAUCGAUUAGGAUUAAAUUCUAUCCGAUUGUAACUCUAGGUCGUCAGGCUAUAUAAGACGGCUAGGGGCGCCCCCCGAGGGCACGUUAACUCUUCGCACUUGCGAUCAGUAAUACAAUCCACCAGAACACAGGACGUAGGGUAUUACUCUCCGAAGAUCCGAACUUGUCUAAACCUUGCGUCCCUAUGUUACCAUUCUAGUUCUUGGUCUUACGAUCUCUCCCGCCAAAAAUCUAUCAUCUGUGUAACCCCUGAAGGACUGCCGAUCGCUAAAUCCGAUACCGUGUUUGAGGCCGGAAUAUAAUGGGCAUAGUAAAAAGUAAAAAUAACAGUAACAAUAAAUAUGGAAGGGAAAAUAAAGACAUGUUUGUGCUCAUCAAAUAGUUUUCUUGCUAAUGGUGCACUCACAUGAUGUUUCUGCUGCAAUAUUCCAGGCAUACAUGUAUUCUGAACACCUGAUGUGUGUAUAAUGCGGUUUACAAUGCAGUGAUGUUCAUAUUUUUGGAACAUGUAAUGGUUGAGAACCACUCUUUUAAAUUGAUGCAUCAGUACACUACUUGAGUGUACCUUUCAAAAACACAAAGAGUAGUGUUCGGCAUAAUGACGUUAUAUUUUAACCGUUAAUGUCUCUUAUAUUACAAUGCUUAUAUAAUAUCGGCACCAAAUGGAAGUACUUCUGAUACGAGUCCAAUGAAACUACAAUUUAUCCCACAAUAUGGACAUUCUUAACGUUAAAUGUUGGUUAAAGAAUUUUUAACGUUUGAAUAUCGAAAUGCAAGAGAUGGAGGGAUUAUCUUCUUUUGUGAAAAUGAGCUGAAGAUGCAAUUGUAUAUGAAGCAUUGUUGAGAUGUACACACGGAGAAGGAAUGCGUACGUCCAUCGCAAGCGUGCCCAUUACUCCACUACGACUCUCCAAAGCUAGCUAACAAUGUUUGUGCAUGUGGGGUGCUUCGGUAUUAUACAACGUAGCGUGUAAGCAAAUUCUUCUAUGGUAGACUAGAGUUUUUUGUUUGGAUUUUAGCAGAUGCUAACAUUGGCCGUCACCAGGCGAGGUGCUUCGUGACUCGUGAGACCAUCUGCCCCCGCCAUGCCGCUCCGGCCGCCGUGUCUUGCGGUUGCAGGCUCGCAGUGUCGUUGAUUAUUGGAAAGAGCCGCGCCCACACGAGCAAGUACCAACACGAUUAUGGACAAGCCCGGAGCCAGUUGCUGCUGCCUGGUGACUCGGCUGUUGGUUGGGCCGGCGACGAGGGGUUUGGCACGCAAACUGAGAAAUAAUUCGGCCAUGAGUUACGUGAGAUUCCGACUAAACAACUAUCAAACGUAUAAUGGAAUGGCAAAACAACAGCAAGGAUUUAGAGUAGUCUGUAACCAAAACAUUAUCUUGGUUGCCGUUGACGUACUGCAAGGAUUUUCUUGCUUUACUAUUGAGCCAAAUUAAGGAAAAAAAAAGAAGCAUACGCCCUCUAAAUUACACUUUCCCUCUUGUUUCAUCGUGCUAUUGGCGUAUACGUCCGGUGUGUAUAGCGUAUACUCCCUCCGUUUCAAAUUAUAGGUCAUUUUGGCAUUUUAAGAUUCAUAAAUUUUGACAUGCACCUAGAUAUAGGGUAUAUCUAGAUGCAUAAUAAAAAUUAUGAACUUAAAAAAGCUAAAACGAUCUAUAAUUUGGAACGAAGGAAGUACAUUUUUUGUUUGAAAUGAUAGUACAUUUGAAAUAAUAAGGUGGUCGCCGGCUCGGCAUCCGUUUCUCCCGCCUUUCUUUUCCGCAUCUGAAAAAUAUAAGAGGGAAGAAUCUAAAUUAUAUCGACGCUGGUCUCUUCCACCGACGCUGGUCCGUGGAGAUGAGCUCCCCGGCGGUUAGGGCGGUGGAGGGUGGUGGCGGCAGAUGCGGCGGCGGGAGCUGUCGGAGCCAUAGGACGAAGGCGGCGUGGGGGCAAGGGGCUCGCCGCCGGUAGGGUUAGGGUUCGGGGUAGGGGCUUUGGGGUUCAGGUUGCCGGGGUUAGGGUCUCCAGUGAUCUCUGGCUGCAGAGGGAGGGCCUUGGGCGGCGGCGGACCGACGGCGGGUGCUGCCGGCCGCGGGUGGCAGAGGAUAGCCGGUGGGUGGCGGAGGAGGCAGCGGAGUGACGGUGAGCAUCCCGACAGAGCCGGGUUAGGGUGGCGGUGAAUCCGGCGGCGGGAGUCGCUGGAGACAGACGGUGGAGGAGGACGGCGUGGGGGCGACUGGAGGAGGGGAGCGGCGGCGUGGGAGCGACCGGAGGAGGAAGACGACCUCCUCGUGAGCUGUUCUGGUGGGCCGGAGGAGGUGGUGGGCCACGUGCUCGCUGAAGGCGACAGCAUCGCGUUGGCGACGGCCAGUCGCACCCCAUCCCACCGGCAAACACCAAAAGAGAAAUAGUCAGACAGAUUCAACUCCCACCGUGGCCUUUCUUCCUUCUCUUUGUCUUCGAUCUGUUUUGCAUGGUUUGUUUUGAAGCUUUUAGAUUUGAAGGUUUUGGUGUUCUUGGCCUGAGUUUGAUUCUUAGCUAUUGCUUGGAUUUGAAGCGGAGCUCCCUUCGAUCCAAUGAAGGGUUCUUUUGAAGGGUGGUACAGCUGCUUGUUCAUGGUUCCCACUCUCCUAUCUCAUCAGCUACGAGAGAGAGAGAUUGUGAGGGUGAGGUGAUUUGGUUUGAGAUAGGCUUGUGGUUUGCAUGACCGGGGAGCUGCAUCUUCCCCUUUGUGGCCGCUCUUUGGAUUGAAGGGAGCUCUGCAUCGAUCUCGAUCCCAUGUCUAUUUGCAUCGAUCUGAAUGCCCCGUUAAUUCACUCCUUCCACCACUGACUUGUGUGUUGUAUAUAUUUGCUAUUUUUACAUGGUUAUAUCUGUCUAUCUGUGCUGCAACUAUAUUUCGAUACUUUGUGUAAUUUCUCCGUCCGUGCAUAUAGUCCUCAGUAAGUGUAUGCGAUACGAAGUAGAUCAUGUAUACCAGCAAAGCUUUCUGUGUUUUUUUUUUCUGCAUCUGUUGAGAUUAACCCCUGAUGAUCUUCCUUUUCUGUCGUGAUGGCCGGAUCCCCAAGAUUCAGCAGCAUAGUAUUUUAGAAAAAAGAAAAGAUUCAGCAGCAUGUGCUUGUCGGGGCUGAAGCAUGUCGGUGUGGUGAUGUGAGACUUGUUUCUUCUCUUUUCGUUGCUCGUGCGUGCCUUUCCAGUUUGGCGGCUCACUGAAGAAGCCCGUCUAGUGAUCGGGCCGGCGUCCUUUGUUCUCGGCUCUGCAGCGAUGAACAGACGUUACUGAAGCCUCUUGGGACGAUUUGCGAUGUUUAGGAAAUAAAAUAGGUUAAUUGGAUAUAUAUCAUUACAAAUAUCUGAGUUUGGAAAACUACCAUUAUAAUUCGUCUAUUUGAAACAUACCAUUACGACUCGUUUUUUACUUGAGACGUGCUAUUUUAUACGUUUUUGAUGCUCUUGACCCAUAUGCAGAUCCUGGUAUUUCCGUAUGGACGAAAAUGCCCCUACUUCAACAAGGGGCUUCUUCCACCCGUGCUCCGCUGCUAACGCCGUUGGGGAUGUGCUUGAGCGCGGCGGUGGCGGCGGACGCGCAGGGACGGCUGGAGCGCCGCGCCGGCAGACGGACGGGGUCGGGGCGGAGCGCGGCCGCGCCGGCGAACGAAUGGGGCAGGGGCGGGGCAGUGGGGCACGCCCGCGGCAGCGCACACGCGGGCCAGCGCGGGGCGCGGCCGCAGCGAUGAACGAGCGGGGCCGGGGUGGAGUGCGCCCACGGCGGCGCACGCGUGGGCCAGGACGGGGCGAGGCUGUCCCUAGUCGUCGCGCCAGCCGUCCAGGCUGCGCACCAGCCCGCGCAUCGACGCGUGCCCACGGCGCUGACGCCACCCACGCUCUCCACAGGCCUGCGUGGCCCGCACGAGAAGGAGGUGGCCGACCGAGGGAGGCUGAGCAAUAAGGAUUCGCGGCGGAACUUGGCUCUGAUUGGAGCUGCUGCAGCUAAGACUGCUGUGGGAACGUGUGAGGGACCUGCAGGAGGAGGGAUUGGAUGGGGAGGAGCAGGUAGCAGGAAGCUCGUCGGUUACUAUGCAGCUGCUUGUACUUGCGAUGGAUAAAGGAAAGGAGCUGCUUGCUCAAGAAUGACGUUUGAUGCUGCUGCUUGCUACAACAGGGAGGAAGGAGACAUCGAUUUUGGGAGCAAGCACGGAGGAGCACCCAAGGCGGAGCGAGGCCACGGCGGACGCGCGAGGACGGAGACGGCUGCUGACGCGCAACAGGAGCUCGACAUUUCGCGUGGAAGAUUCGGGGAGGGAAGGGAGGAGGAAGGGGAUGACCGUUUGGUCCCACAUGUCAGUGAGUGGAGAGUAGAUAUGUAGCGGGGUUAUUCUUGUCCGUACAGAAAUACCAGAAUCUGCAUAUGGGUCCAAGAGCAUCAAAUACGUACAAAAUGUCACACCUCAUGCAAAGAACGAAUUAUAAUGGCAUAUUUCCAAAUAGACGAAUGGUAAUGGCAGCUCUCCAAACUCGGAUAUUUGCAAUGAUAUGCAUCCAAUUAACCUAAAUAAAAUCCACUCGUAGUAGCAGUGAGUUAGUGACAUGUUUAUGGUUCUUGUAGUAAUGUUCAGUCUGCUGAUGCAACAUCAGCAUCCUACAUGUAUGUCGAUGCUCCAAAAAAUUGUAGUCGGGUGGCACGGUGCUGUAUCAUUUUACAAAGUCAUCUGAAAAUAUAAACUUUCAUUUUGAAGUUGGUUUCUUGCAUCUGAGCCCAUGAUAAGCAAGUCUGCAUGUGGGAGUGCUGUAGCAAUGAUCGUAGUAUACUCUAGAGCUGAGCUCUCGUGCAAGCAAAGCCUGCGUAUUGUCGAUAGACUAGCACAAUGCUAGCAGCCUAGCACUGAUGCCAACUCUUAAUCAACAGCCAUGACCUCGCUCGGCUACCCUGCCUUCCUUCGUCAGCGCGACAACAGCGAGGAGCGGUAUCUCUCACUUCUCACUUUCUCAGACGAUUGCAUCAUCGAGAUUCGUCGGGCCGGACGAGCCCGGAGCCCCGUCAUUUAUGGGCUAAUGGGCUGCUCUUGUGGGUUGUCUUGCCCCCUUGUUGGGCCUGUAGCUUUGUGCAUGCAUGUUGGGCCGGUUGCAUUAUUUGUCCAGAAUAAGCUAAUAUCAAGAUUCGUCGGACAGCGCUCGGACGAAUAAGUGCGGAAAUUGAAAGGAAAUUAAAAGGGGAGAAAUAUCAGGAGUAAAGCUAAGAAAAGGAAGAUUCCAGAGCUACUCCUUCCGUCCUAAAUUAUGUUGUUUUGAAUUUUCUAUUCAUAUCUUUUACUACGCAUCUAAACAUAAUAUAUAUUUCUAUUCAUAUCUUUUACUACGCAUCUAAAUAUAAUAUAUAUUAUGGCAAAAUCUAUAAAUUAAAAAACUAAAACGACUUAUAAUAGGAAGUACAAUUGGCAUAUCCUGCUGACAGCCAAAAAUGAAAACCAAUUGCUACUCGAAUUUCCUGCAAAGUCGCUGUCCCAUAAUCAAUUGAUGCAAACGCGCGUGGCGCGCACAAACGAGAGAGAAAUCAAGAUGUGCAGUUCGAUCGGGCACUACCGUUGACAUUGCAUUGACCUUAGCUUUAUGUAUCUGUGCAUACAUCGUUAUUUCCACAGUUAAGACAUUAUUGGUGGAAAAAAAAUUAAGAGAAUUUAUGAAAAGCUUGUGAUUCUUCAGAUAGGAGUUCGAUACAGGAAAUGCACCAUCUCCCUCUCGAAGUACCUGAGUACUCCAAGAUAUCUAUGUCAUGUUAUCAAUAACUGCAUCGCGAUUUAUGUGGGAGCACAGCAACAUAUCUUCUCGUUUGCAUAGAAUCAUAUCAUGAUCUCGGAUCAAAAUCUCUCAAACUUUAGCCUAGUUAAAAUUCUUGUGUUAUGAUAAUAGCACUGCAAUUUAGACGUGACUAUAUAAAUAGUCGCUUAUAUUCACUUAUGGAAAGAAAAGAAUACUACUUUUAUGUGUGGAGUGGGGUGGAUAGUUUUUUUUUUGUGCUGCACCAUUAGAUGGAUAGGGGGUUUUGCCCAGCCCGACGCUUGACGUGAGUUUUGAUCCAUUCCCGCACUUAAUCCUAUAGCUUCAACCCUUAACAAACAUAUACAUGGUAGUUAUUGACAUGCUUCAUCGUGGCACUUGCAUGAUCCCGUUGUAAUUUUAUACAACUAGACAAACAAGAAGACCUGACCAUAAUAGCCCAUCCUGAGCCCGACGAGUUACCAUGAUUUAGGGCGGUACGGUGCUGAAUUUCGUGUCUAAAAAAAUCGACCCGACCCAAACCAACGCGAAAUAAAGUUACAUUAAAAAAGGAUGGCUUGUUCUGUCCGACUUGGUUCCCAAUUUGAAGGUAUGAUAAAGUUAGUGACAGGAGUUGGACGCUGAUUUUAGGCAUAAAAUAAACAUGAAUUUUCUCGACCUGGUCUGGCCUAAAAAUGCGCAGGACUAAACAAUAUCUAAGAAGUAAGAACUAGUCAACUAAAUAGUCAUCAGACAUAUAACACCCCAUCCUCUAAAGUCACACCGUCCAACCCUUUUGAGGAACGAGCAGGCAUACACAUAGCACCCUACUUACCUUUUCGUUCUCACUUCGUAUAAAAGGGUUAACCAGAGAAUGCUAUGGUUGGAGGAUAAAAUCUUAUAAGUUGGCUCCACCCUUGCUCAACUAGAAAUGUGGUACUAAAUAUGUCCAUGCGGCACUAAUGUGCCACUACUAAACCAUCCAAAUUUUGUCCGGGUGUCACAUUGUACCUCCGACCCACUACGGAUCAAAGAUCAUGUCCGACGUUGAGAUGGCAAUGGGUACAUGAAACUCAAAACCCAUCAUUCUAUUAAUUAGGGCACGUGCAUGUAUCAAUUUUUCUACCAUGGGUUUGCUAAUGGACGAAAAGUUAGACCCAUCGAGUUUGAUGUCGUAGGUCUGGGAACAUGAAAUCCGAAUCAGCGAACCCAUGAGUUAUUUAGACCCAACUAUAUACCAGCAAAUAAGCCCAUCUCCUCGAUAAACACCUUAAUUUAGACAGCCCACGCGUAACUUGGAUAUGUAUGUGUUGUUGCUUAUCCUCAAUGGAAUCAUUGAACAUUAAACUUGGUAAUUUAAGAGCUAUAUUAUGCGAUGAUGCCACUGAUUUAUGAACUGAUGUGCUACAAGGACACGUGUGAUGGUUGGAUAACUCUAAUGUCUUAUCUUGCUAUUCUUUUUGUUGAUUUACAUCAAUCUAAUGAUGCCACUGAUUUAGGAACUGAUGUGCUACGAGGACACAUGUGAUGGUUGGAUAACUCUAAUUUCUUAUCCUGCUAUUCUUUUUGCUGAUUUACAUCAAUGUUGCAUGCACACAUAUUGAAAUAUCAAUAUAUAUGUAUGUGACUGUUGUUUUCAGUUGCCUAUUUUAUUGGACAUGGGUAACCUGUUGGUGCCCCGUUAACCCGAUGUGCAUAGGUUUGGCAUAAACAUCAACCAGUUCAACCCAAAAAUUUAAGCUGAUAGGAAAUAUGAGCAAUUCACUUAUACUCCAACACUCCCCCUCACGCGCAGACUCCCUUAGGCCGCAUGUGGAAAUUGGAGUGGGCUGCAAUUAUUUUAUUUAAUCGCGUCCACCAAGAUUCGAACUCGAGACCUCUGACUCUUAUACCAUAUUGAAUUGCAUGCACCAACCAGUUCAACCCAAAAGGUUAAGCUGAUAGGGAAAGAUCACUUAUACUCCAACAUUAACAGACAAAUUUUAUAUUCGUGGGCAUAGGAUGUUAAUACCCACAGGUUUGUGGCCAUUGCUAUCUCUAAUAUAACACCUUUUUUUAUCUUAUUAAUAGACCUUUUAGCAAUAUGCGACGCGUGCGUCAACAACGAGAAACAUUUAGCGAAUUCUCAUAAAUGUUCAUGGAGAUACGGUGAGCGCACGUGGUUCAUAGGGAGAUUUACCAGUCUAGUGUAUUGUAAGUGUUUAUAGGGUAGGAUGUGCAUAUACUCUUAGGAACUGAGUGUUAGUGCGGUGUGAGCCACUGAGCAUUUGUAACCAUUAUAUGUUGAAAGAAGAAACAAGAUCAAUGACUUUGUUAUCACUGUUUCUCGCGAUGCCAAAGCAUAUUAUACACGGAUAAAGAGUAAUGACAUUUUUCCUAUAAUGGCACUAAAUUAACGAAGAGAGAGAGAGGAAACCAUCCUGAUGAAACGAGCCGGCUCCAGUUACCAGACGGGCGACACCCCACUGAGGGGGUCAUCGUUUCAUCCAGCGGCGGCGGCGGAUCCCUUGCGUCGGCCGCCCUCCCUCCCGCGCCGCGCCCUCCCUUCUUCCCCGCCCAAAUUCUUCCAACGCCGUACAUGAAUGGAGGUUCCGUUGACUUCCAAUCUCGCCUCCUUCUCCUUCCAAUCUCACCUCCCUCCCCCUUCCAAUCUUGAUUCCCAGCUGCUGUGGCAUCGCCGCGUCGCCAGCGCUGCACUGGAGCCCGAUGGCUGGCAGAGAGAGGAAGGGAGGUCCCAAGAAGCAUCUGACUGUAGUGCAAAUUUCCCCAAUUUUACUGCUGACUGUAGUUGAAUUUUACUCUGAUCUCUAGCCUUCCUGAUUAAAAUAGCACUUCCAUGUUUCUUUAACGGAUUGACUGUAGUUGAAUUUCCCCAAAUAUGAUCUUUGAUGUAUCAAUAAACUAUAUCUUUAGAGCAUAUAUGGUUUUGAUCUGUAACAGUGCUCACAGUUGACACUCCAGGGAUCUCGCGAACUGGAAAAUGGAAGUAAAAUUGCUACAAGUUUACAAUUCCCUGUUGAUUCAGGACACAAGUAAUAUGACUGAUGAAGAGAAGGCUAGCCGAGUGAAGACAUUGCAAUGGAUGCAGAAGAAGAUCAUGGCUUUGAUGAGGAAGCAUGAGGUAUACAUAGCACUUUCUGAAAUUGUUCUAUAGAUUGUAGAAAAUCUGUCUCUGAAGUCAUAAUUAGCAUGCAGCCAUCCUUUUCAAAAAUGGAAAUUCAAUAUGCAACCAGCCAGCCAAAACAAAACUCUAUCUCUUAUGUCUGAACUUACUGCAUUCAAUUAAGAGCCUACGCUUAUGACUGCAAUUCAUCAUCUGCAUGAACAGAGGCAAAGGCAUGCUUAUGACAGCAUGACAGUAGCUAAUUGGAUUGUUCUUUUCGCAAAAUAAUUAGUAGCUACUUGUUUGUUCUUGUCUCACCUAGAAGAUGUAGCUUCAAUUGUUCAGUUAGCGCUGAAUCUGUUUUUAGAGCUUCAGUUCAAUUGUUCAUUUGUCUCUUUUUGCAAAAGUGGUUCUUGACAGUACCUACUUGUUUUUGGAGCUCGGUUUGUUUAGAUGGUCUGUUUCAGUAUCUUGAAGGCUUACAAUAUUUUGAUGUGCUAUUUUCAGUGGACAAAGUGGCAGGAAACAGGAAGAUGGAAGACAGUGGGUUUUUAAGUUUCUCAUUAUGUUAGUUUCAGUGGCAAUGGGAACUUUAGUUUGAAUCUGAACUGAAUGUAUGAGGUGGGCAAUUUAUUCCGAAUCUGAGACUGCACGUAUG
rnacentral:lncRNA from 1 species